rnacentral:rRNA from 1 species
GACGAACGCUGGCGGCGUGCUUAACACAUGCAAGUCGAACGGAAAGGCCCUGCUUGCAGGGUACUCGAGUGGCGAACGGGUGAGUAACACGUGGGUGAUCUGCCCUGCACUUCGGGAUAAGCCUGGGAAACUGGGUCUAAUACCGGAUAGGAGCCAUUUUUAGUGUGAUGGUUGGAAAGUUUUUUCGGUGUAGGAUGAGCUCGCGGCCUAUCAGCUUGUUGGUGGGGUAAUGGCCUACCAAGGCGGCGACGGGUAGCCGGCCUGAGAGGGUGGACGGCCACAUUGGGACUGAGAUACGGCCCAGACUCCUACGGGAGGCAGCAGUGGGGAAUAUUGCACAAUGGGCGCAAGCCUGAUGCAGCGACGCCGCGGGGGGGAUGACGGCCUUCGGGUUGUAAACGCCUUUCGCUAGGGACGAAGCUUUUUGUGACGGUACCUAGAGAAGAAGCACCGGCUAACUACGUG